ACCUUAUGGACAAAGAUUGGAUAUUGAGAACAAUGCAAGAGGUGAAAACCAAGCAAGCCUUUUCUAAUGAAGAUCAAAUCGAGAGCCAGACCUGGCAAGAC